AAAAAAAAAAAAAAAAAAAAGUUUUAAUUAUAAAGUUUUGAAAAUUAAAAGAUUAAAUUUAUUCAUGCCAGGAGAAAAGUGGAAAAGUGGACCUUUAAAUUUUGAAAGACAUAAUCAACGAAGAUGAUUGUGGCAUCGUAUUUACUGUAAGUAAAAUUUGUAUUAAUAUUUUGGUAUAAGAACUGACAGAGAAAAAAAGAUCAGGUUUAUUUUAGAAGUGUACUCAGUAAUUCAGAGUAUAUGUAAUAGGCUCUAUAGGGUAGGUUAUACAUAUUUUUUACUCAUUUCUGAAGGUACCCAUCUGUGACAGGAGAUGAUAUGGUAAAUUUAUGAAGAACAUAACCUUGAUAAUUAAACCAAAUUGGUUCAUAUUCUUGCUUCUCUAAAUAUUUGAAGUUGGACAAAUUAUUUUGAAGCUCUAUUAAGUGUGUCAAACAUUUGAAACAUUUAUUAAACUACGAUGAUACAUUGACCUUGUUAUUUUGAGGUUUCAACUGAAAUGAUAUAGGUAAAAUUCUUAUUCUAUAGCGGAUUCUCAGUAAAUAUUAACUAUUUGUAUGAUAAGGUGUUUUGGAUGAGGUAGUCUAUAAACAGAUAUUUGUUGAGAAUAAUUGGCAUUAAUUUUCUUGAGGAUUUUAUUUCCUUUGUCAAAUAUAUAUUAUUUACUAAGCAGAUACCAAAACAUUUGGUGUCCCUAUUUUGAGGGAAAUUGCAAUAUAAUUUUGAAGACUAGAUGCAAAUGAUAAGUGAAGAAGACAGCUAACUAAAUUUUAGUUAAGCUUCAAAAACAUAAAAGUCAAUUAUGAGCUUUUCCCAUAAUCAUAUAUCACAUUUAUUUGCUUUCUUUCAGAUAAACUUAUAUUUUUGGUAAGUUAAAAUUUAUAUGAUAAAACCGAUAGGCAGAUAGAUUAUAAAAAUCAUAUUCAUAAUCAGAUAGCUCAUUCAUUUUUAAGUUUUUUUAUUUAAAUAUUUGUCAAAAUUUUAUUAUUAAAGGGUUCUAAUUUGAUAGAGUCAUUUAGCUUUUUUCCGAUUCUUUAGCGUAGCAUCUUAAUACCUUCUCCUUUAUUCAUGCCAAUGAGUACUAAAAUUCUCAAAAUUUAAAACAAAUUAGUGAAAAAUAAGCCUUCUAAAAUAGGAUGAAUUCAUUAGAAUACCGAAUUCUGAGCCUUAAGCCUCAAUUGUAUUUGAACUUUCUUUUCUUUCCUGCAUUUUCCUUGCCAUUUUCUGCCUAUGAUUGCUUUUAUUAACAUUCUUUUUAGUAAUUAUUACAAUUUGAGAGGCAAAGACUCAAAAACAUGCACUGGAGUCUAGCCAUACGAAUAGUGAGAGAAUGGAAAAUAAAUGUAAAUUAUGAUAUAUGUUUCUCAAGAAUUUCAUAGUCCUUGAUUUUGUAAUCAAUUUGAUAAAGAAUAUAUAUAUAUAUAUAACUUCAUUAAGAGUAUUAAAAGUAUUAAAACAUAUAAUGACUAUGAGUGCUAAAGGCAUGGAGAAAAAAGAAAACACUUGAAUAAAAUAAAUUAAAGAUUUCUAGAGAAGGACAGCUUUCAUUAUGAUUUUAAGGGCAACAGUGGUACAGAUUGGUAGAAAUAAAUAUCCGAAGAGAGUUAGAUGGACUUGAGCACUAAAGAAAUGAAGGCAGGGAUAGCAAAAACACUUUUCUAGAAAGGUCAUAGAAACAGCAAAUGAAUGUAUUCAAUUAUGGGCCAAUAUCCUGAAUUUGGACCCAGUUGCUUAAAUGCAUAAUUUCAGCAGUCCUCAAUUUUGUUUCAUUUGAUUUAUGUUUUCCCCAUCUCCACUAGAAACUUGUCCAAUUUGAUGUCAAUGGAAAUGCGUGAGAUCUUUAUUCAGCUGUCACACCUGAGCAAUGCUUUUGGUCAUGAUGUCAUACUAAGAAGAAACCCCCUGAGAUGAGAAUGUUAGAUGUUAAGAGUGAGUAUGACUGAUACAGAAAGACAUUUGCUGCCCUACGUAGAAUCAGGAGGUAUUUUAAUUUUGAAGCAUGUUGCAGGGUGAAGUUAAAAAGAAAGGUUGAUUAACCUGUUAUAUUUAAAAUGAUGUCUUGAAUUUCAAGUCAGAGGGGACACUGUUUAGCUUCUAGUUUCUCUGUUCUUCAACCUUCUGAAAUGGAGAUACUUCAGUUCAAAUAUGGUAUGUUGGUCACCAUGGUAUAUUUUCUUUUUUCUUCUCUUGGGUUGAUGGCUAACCCCAGUCUUCUUUAUUCCAUAACUGACACACUCAUAUUGUUUGUGGUUUAGAUAUUAUGGAGUAUGUAAAUACUUAACUCUGUAUUUUGGCUAUCUAAUAAGGCAUAGGUCGGUUGUCCAGAGUGCAAGAGUUUAAGUGGAAAUGUACACACAUGCACACCUGUGUGCACAAACACACACGUGAGGAAAAAAUGGCAUUGCAGUUAAAACUUUGUUUUGUCAUGAAAAAUAGAAACAGAUCUGUGAAACAGAAGUGAUCACAAAAUCAGAUGAUGCUACACACAGAAUAUACUUGGAUUACAAUGGAGAACUUGAACGAUCGUUGUGAAAAAGAAGGUUUAGUUUUUUCAUUUUAUAUAAUAUACAAAUAUGAAUUCCAGAUGGAUUUAAGCAUUCAUUAAAAAUAUAAAACCACGGGAUAACUAAAUUUGUAGCGUACUGAAUAUUUCUAUCACUCAGAUAUGUUUUUUAAAACCGGGCUUAACAUUGUACCUUUUCAUGUCUACUCCCCAAGGCAAACAAAAACAAAAACCAACCAACAAAACAGAAAAAAAAAAAAAAAAAAAAGAAACAGAAGUGUCUGAAGGACAGCAGAAAUGGGAAGUUUUUUCCAUGAUUCAAUACACUCAAUGGAAAGUAACCUUCUCCUGGAAGCUACACCUAGAUGGCCCUAGUCAUGUGAAACCAGUGAUGAUAGCAACAGAUGAAGAUUCUGGACAGGGAAACUAAGGCUUGAACAGUUUGGAUAUGUCUGUUAUUAAAAUGUAAGCAUCUUUUGACAUUGGAGUAGCAAGAGGGGGUGAAAUGCACUGGAGUGUCCAGUUUUGUGUCACGUGUCCUUUCUGCCAUUCUCAGGCUAAUGGCACUCUUCAUGACAAGCCUGAUUGUACUGUUAAGCUCCAGAGGAAAAAAUGUGGCUACAGAGUAUAUUAAAAUACAUACAAUUGAAAAGGAAAAUGUUCAUUUUUGCAAGCAGAAGAUUACCAACAGAAUGCUAAAAUUGAAGCUAGAAGAAAGAUUUGAAGUGCCUUUACAAGGUUAUUUCCAAGAUGGGUUCUCAUGAUGUUGUCCAGGCUGUAGUGCAAUGGCUCUUAAGAGGUGCAAUCACAGUGCACUAUAGCCUCAAACUCCUGGACCCAAGCAUUCCUCCUGCUUUGGAUUCCUGAGUAUUGGGGAUUACAGCCAAGUGCUACUACAUCGGCUUUGUCUCUUAAUUCUCUUUGAAAAAGGAUACCUUGUGGGUGUAUAGCACAGCUAGCUAUUAUACAGCUAUGAGGAAUACCAGUACCUGCUGCUGCUAAUAAUUCCUUGAUGGUUUAUCUCAUAAAACUAGUCCCAGAUUUCAAAAAUGUUUUUGAAUUUAGGAAAUGAGUUAAUAUUCCUAAUUCAGGGAGCUAUACGAAAAGCAAAAUCUUAAGAAAACAUGACCAAUGUACAGAAAAAAUAAAAGUGAAUAGAG